rnacentral:rRNA from 1 species
GACGAACGCUGGCGGCGUGCCUAAUACAUGCAAGUCGAACGAACUCUGGUAUUGAUUGGUGCUUGCAUCAUGAUUUACAUUUGAGUGAGUGGCGAACUGGUGAGUAACACGUGGGAAACCUGCCCAGAAGCGGGGGAUAACACCUGGAAACAGAUGCUAAUACCGCAUAACAACUUGGACCGCAUGGUCCGAGCUUGAAAGAUGGCUUCGGCUAUCACUUUUGGAUGGUCCCGCGGCGUAUUAGCUAGAUGGUGGGGUAACGGCUCACCAUGGCAAUGAUACGUAGCCGACCUGAGAGGGUAAUCGGCCACAUUGGGACUGAGACACGGCCCAAACUCCUACGGGAGGCAGCAGUAGGGAAUCUUCCACAAUGGACGAAAGUCUGAUGGAGCAACGCCGCGUGAGUGAAGAAGGGUUUCGGCUCGUAAAACUCUGUUGUUAAAGAAGAACAUAUCUGAGAGUAACUGUUCAGGUAUUGACGGUAUUUAACCAGAAAGCCACGGCUAACUACGUGCCAGCAGCCGCGGUAAUACGUAGGUGGCAAGCGUUGUCCGGAUUUAUUGGGCGUAAAGCGAGCGCAGGCGGUUUUUUAAGUCUGAUGUGAAAGCCUUCGGCUCAACCGAAGAAGUGCAUCGGAAACUGGGAAACUUGAGUGCAGAAGAGGACAGUGGAACUCCAUGUGUAGCGGUGAAAUGCGUAGAUAUAUGGAAGAACACCAGUGGCGAAGGCGGCUGUCUGGUCUGUAACUGACGCUGAGGCUCGAAAGUAUGGGUAGCAAACAGGAUUAGAUACCCUGGUAGUCCAUACCGUAACGAUGAAUGCUAAGUGUUGGAGGGUUUCCGCCCUUCAGUGCUGCAGCUAACGCAUUAAGCAUUCCGCCUGGGGAGUACGGCCGCAAGGCUGAAACUCAAAGGAAUUGACGGGGGCCCGCACAAGCGGUGGAGCAUGUGGUUUAAUUCGAAGCUACGCGAAGAACCUUACCAGGUCUUGACAUACUAUGCAAAUCUAAGAGAUUAGACGUUCCCUUCGGGGACAUGGAUACAGGUGGUGCAUGGUUGUCGUCAGCUCGUGUCGUGAGAUGUUGGGUUAAGUCCCGCAACGAGCGCAACCCUUAUUAUCAGUUGCCAGCAUUAAGUUGGGCACUCUGGUGAGACUGCCGGUGACAAACCGGAGGAAGGUGGGGAUGACGUCAAAUCAUCAUGCCCCUUAUGACCUGGGCUACACACGUGCUACAAUGGAUGGUACAACGAGUUGCGAACUCGCGAGAGUAAGCUAAUCUCUUAAAGCCAUUCUCAGUUCGGAUUGUAGGCUGCAACUCGCCUACAUGAAGUCGGAAUCGCUAGUAAUCGCGGAUCAGCAUGCCGCGGUGAAUACGUUCCCGGGCCUUGUACACACCGCCCGUCACACCAUGAGAGUUUGUAACACCCAAAGUCGGUGGGGUAACCUUUUAGGAACCAGCCGCCUAAGGUGGGACAGAUGAUUAGGGUG